UACAGAGGGUGCGAGCGUUAAUCGGAAUUACUGGGCGUAAAGCGUGCGUAGACGGUUAUCUAAGUCGGAUGUGAAAGCCCCGGGCUCAACCUGGGAAUUGCAUUCGAGACUGAAUAGCUAGGGUACGGUAGAGGGAAGUGGAAUUUCCGGUGUAGCGGUGAAAUGCGUAGAUAUCGGAAGGAACGCCCGUGGCGAAAGCGAGGUCCUGGACGCCUACUGACGCUGAGACGCGAAAGCCAGGGGAGCGAACGGG
rnacentral:rRNA from 1 species